AAUAAAUAUUGAGGAAAAGUAAGAGAAGUUCCCCCGUUUAGUUUUAGAAAACCAAAAAAUGAAGAAAGAAGAAAGAACUCUACCUUGCUUCCCUUUCUUCUGUGUUACGUUCCAAGAGAGCUUGUCCCACAGUCACAGGAACAACUAGCAAAGUUUUGCGGUAGUCCAGGGAUUUGCAUCAUCGCAUGCAAGCCCAGGGAUGUGGAGGAAAAGGAAGAAUUCUCGCAAUCCGGAUUUCGCCAUCGAACUGCCUCAGAUCUGCUCUGAUAUGAGUUAAAUCGGUGGAAAGAAAUGGCAUUUGCAAUAGCAGGACCAUCAUCAAUGUAAUUAACUCUUCAUUAAACACCCUUGAGCUGCUAUGCAAGGUCGGAUAUGUAAUCUGGUUGCACAUCAGAAGCAUUUUGGGUGGGUCUCAAGAAGUUAAUAUCUGCAAACCAUCUCCUCCUCCCUCACCGGAUCAUAUUAGCUGUCCUACACUCUCAAUAGCUAUUUUAUGGAGACUAG